UACGGGGGGGGCAAGCGUUGUUCGGAAUUAUUGGGCGUAAAGGGUGCGUAGGCGGUUUGGUAAGUCUUAUGUGAAAUCUACAGGCUCAACUUGUAGUCUGCAUGAGAAACUGCCGGGCUUGAGUAUGGGAGAGGUGAGUGGAAUUCCUGGUGUAGCGGUGAAAUGCGUAGAUAUCAGGAGGAACACCUGUGGCGAAAGCGGCUCACUGGACCAUAACUGACGCUGAUGCACGAAAGCUAGGGUAGCGAACGGG
rnacentral:rRNA from 1 species